rnacentral:ncRNA from 1 species
GACCUGAAAGGUGGUGAACUAUGCCUGGGCAGGGCAAAGCCAGAGGAAACUCUGGUGGAGGUCCAUAGCAGUCCUGAUGUGCAAAUCAGUCAUCCAACCUGGGUGUAGGGACAAAAGAUCUACCAUCUAGAAGCUGG